CCCCGGCAGCCACAGAGGAAAUAAUUCAAUCGGGAUUUUUUUUCCUUUGCUGUCUCCCUUCCUUUAUUCCCCAAAAAUCUGAUUAUUUCAAACUCAUCCAAAGGAAGGAAUUUUUCUCUAAACUCCUGGGAAAAAAAAAAAAAAAAAGAAAAAGGAAUGAAAUUUUAAUUUUUAGUUAUUUUUUUUCUUUUCAGUCAAGCUGUUCAGAGAAAGGAAUGUGGAGUGAAUCUUCCCGGAAUGUCUCUUUCCAAGGAAUUUUUGGAACAGUUUCUUUUUUGUAAAUAGACACAAAUUCCUGAACGAUCAUCUCUCCGGAGAGCCUCCUCCUCCCCAGUUAACUCACAUAAAAUAAGGCUUUUUAAGGGUAAAAUGAUAAUUCCAGGGGGAUCUGGAGCUUGGAUUCCUGCCUUGGAGCAACCCCAGGGAAAUGGAAUUUCCAGCCCUGCUUGGCCUUGCCGGGUGUCCCCACACCCCCCUCAGCUGCCACAGCAGGAAAUUGUCUGGGCUGAGAAACCCAACUCCAGGGAGGAUUUUCCCACGUUUGAGGAGGGAAAAAGGAGCCCAGAGGCUCCAAAAUUGUCUCAAAUUCUGCGGGGACACCGGACCCGGCCACCUCUGCUCCAGCUCUCUUCCCUCUGCAGACCCACUGAUCCCAACACUUGUGGAAAAUUCCAUCCCAGGGGAGUGAAAUUUGUGUUUUGCCCAGCUGGAUUUGCCUUGGGAAAACAGGUGAGGAUUUUACCCUUGGGAAAAAAUGAGAGUUUGGCCGAAGUUGUAAAAAAAAAGGAUGAAUUUUUUUAGUGUAUCAAAAUAAACGAUGAAUUUUUAGUGUAUCAAAAGAAACAAUGAAUUUUUAGUGUGUCAAAA